AGAGUUUGAUCCUGGCUCAGGAUGAACGCUAGCUACAGGCUUAACACAUGCAAGUCGAGGGGAAACGACAUCGAAAGCUUGCUUUUGAUGGGCGUCGGCCGGCGCACGGGUGAGUAACGCGUAUCCAACCUGCCCAUCACUUGGGGAUAACCUUGCGAAAGUAAGACUAAUACCCAAUGAUAUCUCUAGAAGACAUCUGAAAGAGAUUAAAAGAUUUAUCGGUGAUGGAUGGGGAUGCGUCUGAUUAGCUUGUUGGGCGGGUAACGGCCACCAAGGCUACGAUCAGUAGGGGUUCUGAGAGGAAGGUCCCCCANAUUGGAACUGAGACACGGUCCAAACUCCUACGGGAGGCA
rnacentral:rRNA from 1 species